rnacentral:rRNA from 1 species
GUGUCAGCAGCCGCGGUAAGACGGAGGAGGCAAGCGUUAUCCGGAAUUAUUGGGCGUAAAGCGUCCGCAGGCGGUUUUUUAAGUCUGUUGUCAAAGGUCACAGCUCAACUGUGGAUCGGCAAUGGAAACUGGGAGACUAGAGUGUGGUAGGGGUAGAGGGAAUUCCCGGUGUAGCGGUGAAAUGCGUAGAUAUCGGGAAGAACACCAGUGGCGAAGGCGCUCUACUGGGCCACAACUGACGCUGAGGGACGAAAGCUAGGGGAGCGAAAGGGAUUAGAUACCCGAGUAGUCC